GAUGAAUGCUGGCGGCGCGCCUAACACAUGCAAGUCGAGCGGAAAGGCCCUUCGGGGUACUCGAGCGGCGGACGGCUGAGUAACGCGUGGGAACAUGCCCCAAAGUGAGGAAUAACUGCCCGAAAGGGUAGCUAAUGCCGCAUAUGAUCUUCGGAUUAAAGGAUUUAUCCGCUUUGGGAGUGGCCCGCGUACGGUUAGGUAGUUGGUGAGGUAAAGGCUCACCAAGCCUACGAUCGUUAACUGGUCUGAGAGGAUGAUCAGUCAGACUGGAACUGAGGCACGGUCCAGACUCCUACGGGAGGCAGCAGUGAGGAAUCUUCCACAAUGGGCGAAAGCCUGAUGGAGCGACGCCGCGUGCAGGAUGAAGGCCUUCGGGUUGUAAACUGCUUUUAUAAGUGAAGAAUAUGACGGUAACUUAUGAAUAAGCACCGGCUAGCUACGUGCCAGCCGCCGCCGUA
rnacentral:rRNA from 1 species